GACGAACGCUGGCGGCGUGCCUAAUACAUGCAAGUAGGACGCAGUUGCGAACGGGUGAGUAACGCGUAGGUAACUACCUAUCAGAGGGGGAUCACUAUUGGAAACGAUAGCUAAUACCUCAUUCUCGCAGAUGGACCUGCGUUGUAUUAGGUAGUAGGUUGGGUAAUUGCCUACCUAGGCAACGAUACAUAGCCGAGCGGAGAGGGUGAUGGGCCAAACUGGGAAUGAGAAACGGCCCAGAGGCCUCGGGGAGGCAGCAGUAGGGAAUCUUCGGCAAGGGGGGGAACACUGGCCGAGCAACGCCGCGUGAGUGAAGAAGGUUUUCGGAGCGUAAAGCUCUGUUGUUAAGGAAGCGGUACUUAACCAGAAAGGGACGGCUAACUACGUGCCAGCAUCCGCGGUAAAUC
rnacentral:rRNA from 1 species